UUUUUUUUUUUUUUAAAUCAUCAGUUUAACUAAGCUAGCACUAACCAAAAACAUAUUUAGGUAAUAACAGUUGUUGAAUAAUGACAUUUGUUCUUCAAUGAAAAUUCUAUAAUGUAAUUAAGAUUAUAAUCUUUAAUUUUAACUUCAAAUCUUGUGCGUAUACAAUACUAUCAGUCAUAAUUCUGCUGUAAUAGUAAUUAAUCUGGUGUGUUAGUCAGCAUUUAGAGAUUUUAAAAGUACAUUUGACUGAAUUACAAAUAGAACGCUCCAGGUUAGAAGUUUACACCUGUAUCAUGUGGAUCUGUUUUGAAGAUUUCUGGUGGAGGAAGGAGGGAGCUAUUUUUUUUUCCUUUGCCAAUAAAAAUAGAUCACAUCUAUUUUUGGACACUGAACACAAUCUACGUUUCUAAUUCUCAGGCAGUGGCUAUGACUCACUGAAUAUAUUUCUAAAGUCUGAGCCUCAAGAACAUAAAGAUACUGGCCAGCUCCUCAGCUGGUGUAAAUCAGCAUACCUUCUCUGAUCUUUGUUGAGCUGGCCUUGGGCAAGGUCUCUCUUAUGCUUUGAGGCAUUUCUGCUUUCGGAUGCUUUGAUUUUCCUUUGCUUUUUUGCACCUCUUUGGAAUGGGUCAGACUAUCAAUCCAGGAAUGUCUGAGUUAUUUUGGGGGCCAGCUCAUUUGUUACCGACUGUUUUUUUUCCCCAUGGGACAAUAUAACAUAGGCUCGAAGUGUUGGUUUGCUUUCAUAUAGAAUAGUUAAUCUGAUCAAAGCACUCCAAAUGUGCUCUAUGCAAACAAAUUCCUAUAAACCACAAAGCAGGACUUAGUCUGUGUCCUCCUUUAGCUUUUUUCUACUCCUAUAGUGUAGGUGUGUUUUUCUCAUUCACAUUUCUGUCAUGUGGUAUCUAUUUCCGUGUUUAAACAUGUGAACUUUAUUUCAUACAAAUGGACUUAGUGUAUGAAUUCUUACAUGUACACUAGCCUACAGAAAACUAAACAGGAAGGUUACGAUAAUUAACAGGACAGUAGGUGGCUGUUUCCUCUUGUCCGAAUCUGCCAUGUGUUAGACCUACAGCCAAUCCUUGGCCAACAAAUUUCAGUAACUCCGUCCUGCCUAAGAAUUAUCUCUGUGUGUGUGAGUGUGUGUGCACGUGCAUGUGUGUAUUUUGGAAUCAGUCACUUUCUUUAGGCACUGAUAUCACAUCCUGUUAUGAGGAAAAAGCAACUUCGAUUGUGUGUUGAUGCAACAAACACAUAGUUUUGGAAAAGUUUCAGUAAUAGCCACCAAUGGUUAUCAGGCAGCACUUCCCUAAAGGCACGCAGCCUGGCCAGAGGAUUUGAAGGUUUGUGUAAGUCCACCAGCCGUGAACAAUCUACCCACUGUAUUACACUCUCACAAGAAUUUGCCUUUUCCUCUGCAACAGUAAGCUUAACUUUAAGUGAAGUUUAAGAACUAUUGUUACAUGAUUGUGGUACCCCUUUCUUUUUUGAGUGUGCGGUUUCUUUUUUUGAGUGCACACCUUGGGUUACAGAUGAAUUUCUAACCAACCAUCCUCUUUUAUUCCUCUUCCCAAUCCUACAUACAGUCUUUUCAUUAGCUUGUUUGGGGUGAUGAGGGGGGGUGCUGUGUCCCCAGGUUUCUUUUUUUGUCAGGUAUUGUUAUAUAAAGAAAAAUUAAUGUAAGGUAAAAAGUAGAUGCCUUUAAAAAGGUAACAAUAAAUCAUUCAAAGUCUGUCAGUUUUCUGCACUGGCUGUUAGGAGAAUAAAUUUAAUGAAUCUUCAUAGAACAGAGCUUUUCUGUAUCACUUAAGUUUUUUCUCUGGCAGAACAUUGCACCAUUUGGAACAGGCUCUAUAUCGUGGGUAGACUUUCUCUUCUCAAGAGAUGCUGAUUUCUGACAAGGAGUACUUUGAUUGUGGGGGAGUCCAUGUACAUUUUUUCUAUAAGUGUUUCUUGAUAUAUAUUUUGAGACACAAAGCCUAAGAAUACAGCACAGAAUAUGAUAAUGCAGAAUAUAGAAAAAAGCUGUUGAUUACCAUUUGUAUUUUUAGUCUCCUCAUUUCAGGAGAAUGCCAAAAGCAAACUUCAGCAGUCAUAUCCAACUCAUUAUUCCUCAUGACAGUAUAAAAUAGUGAGACAGUUUCACAAACUAGAUUAAGAAUCAUAGUUUAUAUUGCUGCAUAAAAUUGCUAAAAUUGUGUAGAAAUCUGUAUUGUGGAUCAUAAGUUAAUGUAAAAACUCCAAGCUAUUUAUUUUUUUUUUUUCCACUGUGUCUGUUUAAGCUUCUGGGCAAGUUGUUGCAUGAAUAAAUAUAUUUUCUUCCACUGAAACUAUGUAAUAUUAAAUGCUGUGUUGUUGGCAUAAAAUAUAAGUUGAUCAGACAGACAAAGAUUAUUAUUCUGACAACUGCAUACACAAGGGUAUCGUUGUACAUUGAAUUUCAGUGUGUAAUAUGGUAUAAAUCUUCAUGAGAGACUCAACUUUUAUUGGCUGCACAGAAGGUGCUUUUCCUUAUUAAAUACGGGAGAUGGUCCCAGGGGAUUUUUCUAAAAUAUCUUUAUCCAUUUUUUUCCUCAUGUCUCUGGGCCCUGGAAGGCUGACAGAUACUGCUGGGCCGUUAGUGAUGCUGAAAGGAGAGAAUCUGCAUGGAUUUCCAAAAAGCAGACCUUGGCAUACAGCAAGGGAAGGCUGAACUACUUGUUGGUGAAAAAUAAGUACAUCUGUCUGACUGUUGGCUGAUGGAAGCACACAGUGAUUAAUUAGAGCUGGGCCAAUUUUGUAUCAUUGAAUAUGAACUUGCUACUUCUCUGGCUGUUUCAUCUCCACCGUCCCUUUGACCACCCAAAAUUUAUUCCAGCAUACUGGGCACUUGCUGUGUUACCAGGAGCAGCAGGGGGAAAAAAAAAGGAGAAGAAAAAAGUCAGUUACACAGUGAAGCUUUUAUGAUUAAUUGAAACUCAGGAGGCAGCCGGUGUUGUACCAAAUGCCUCUGUAAGAGACUGAGCAACAUGGCACCAGCUUUACAACAUGACAUUAGUAUAUGCACAAAACCUUCUAGGGAACAGUGUCUUAAAUCAAAAUUGCAUUAAAAAAAAUGUAAUAGAAGUAAAUCAGUAUCUGUUCUUGGAAAACUGUUCUUUCUUUCAGAAACCACCACAUUCUUUUUACAAUUAUUUUUAUUUAGGGAAAUAAGUAGAAAGCCACUUAUUUCUUUCAUAAAAAUAUUCUAGUUAUAGUACCUAUCAACUGUGAUUUUUCACAUUAAGCAACUUUAAGCCCAGAGAAAAAAUACAUAUGGAAAUGCCUACAGAAACUAAAGCUAACAAGAAUCCAUAUUCUUGUUACAAUGAAUCAUGAAUUCACCCAGCUAAACCCGCAAGUACUGAUCUUGAAGAAGAUAGCAAAAUGAUAAUAUUGAGAAGCAUUUUGUAUAAUGUUGACAUCUCUCCCAUUACUGUUUUACAUAUGCCAAUACUGAACACUCAUAAGGAAAGAACAAGUAUUGACCUGCUAACUGACACUGAUCCUUGGAGCAAUCUCAAAGUUUGCCACAUUUCAAUUUCAAAAUGCAUUUCAGCUAUAAUAUGAGUGAUUUAUCAUUUAGCAGUAGCUGUCAAAGUAACCUCCUAGAUAAAACAAAAACAUCUGGAACCAUAAACAGAGGAGAGCAGUAGCUGAAUUUUAAUCCAAAUCUGACAUGUUCACUUCAUUAGGAACAGGAAACAGCUAAUUAGUAAUUGAAUGUUUUGUGGUUUUAAGGAGGCUCAGACUUUCCAAACAGAGAUGAUUUAAUAUGUAUUUUGGAUGUAAACAAGAAUAAAGAUCGGAAGAGCCAGGGCCAUAACAUCUCCAGAGGAACAGUUGGGAGCAUGGGAACCUCCAAAGGAGGGACUAAAAUUAGUUUCAGGCCUUUGGCUAAUUAAAAUUAUUGCCUUAAACUUUUAGGGGGUAAAUAUUAAAGCCUGGAGAGGGGGGUAAAGCAGAAAUGCAAACAUUGAACAUUGUGGGGAUGUUUCUUUUUUUUCCUUCUGAUUACUGGGAAUUU
rnacentral:lncRNA from 1 species